rnacentral:rRNA from 1 species
AGAGUUUGAUCAUGGCUCAGGACGAACGCUGGCGGCGUGCUUAACACAUGCAAGUCAAGGGGGCCCAGCAAUGGGCAACCGGCGAACGGGUGCGUAACACGUGAGCAACCUACCGAACUGUGGGGGAUAGCCGNNCUAACGGCCGAGUAAUCCCAUACGCUUUCAUUGAGGCAUUUCAGUGAAAGGAAACCUACGGGACAGAUCGAGGGGCUCGCGGCCUAUCAGCUAGUUGCGAGGUAACGGCUCACCAAGGCGACGACGGGUAGCUGGUCUGAGAGGAUGGCCAGCCACAUUGGGACUGAGAUACGGCCCAGACUCCUACGGGAGGCAGCAGUGGGGAAUCUUGCGCAAUGGCCUAACGGCUGACGCAGCGACGCCGCGUGUGGGAUGAAGCUCUUCGGAGUGUAAACCACUGUUGCCCGGGACGAACAUCUCCUUUUGAGGGGACUGACGGUACCGGGUGAGGAAGCACCGGCUAACUCUGUGCCAGCAGCCGCGGUAAUACAGAGGGUGCGAGCGUUGUCCGGAAUCACUGGGCGUAAAGGGCGCGUAGGCGGCUCGGUAAGGUUGCGGUGAAAGCCCGGGGCUCAACCCCGGGUCGGCCGUGGCAACUGCUGGGCUGGAGCACUGUAGAGGCAGGUGGAAUUCCGGGUGUAGCGGUGGAAUGCGUAGAGAUCCGGAAGAACACCGGUGGCGAAGGCGNNNUCUGGGCAGUAGCUGACGCUGAUGCGCGACAGCGUGGGGAGCAAACAGGAUUAGAUACCCUAGUAGUCC